rnacentral:lncRNA from 1 species
CUGCCAUGAUUAGAGGUCUUGGGAAUAGUUUUAUUUUAUUUUCUUGGAUAUUCUGUUUAUCAAUUUAUAAAAUCUAAAAAAAUCAAUUCCCCAGAUCUAUAGAAAGUAUUACCAUAUAUAACAUUUUUAAGUUCCCUUGUUCUUAUGCUCCUCGCUUUCAUCAAUAUCUGUAAGUGGCAGUUAAUGUUAUUGACAACAUGGCACUUAGCGGUCAGUCUAAGAUGAUUUUGUUGUCAAUUUGUUCUAAUUAAUCUCGGGCAUCUAGUUUUAGGCCAUUGACAGAAAAUAGGGGAUAACCGCAGAUGGAUAGAUAGCAAAUUGACUUACAGUUGAAAUGAGUAUGCAGGCCCAGUAGUCAAUAAGAGCAGACUCAGUCCCAACGUGGAAGACUGAAUUCGCUACAUCUAUGUAGUAUGAUAACCACACAAUUGACUGCGGGCAACACCUAGAGAGCGGAGAAUUUGCACUGGCGAGCAUUUCCAGUAGGAGGUCUGCAUGGAGGGGACGAUGGGAGGUCUAUUGACAGAGACGCAAGGGUCAUAGUAGAUUUUUCCAGUUUGUAUGCAACUUACGGUUUGUUUCCCAAAUUUACAUUUUGACAAAUGAAUUGUAAGAUGCGAAAAAAUUAAAAUCAGACGUUACAGUGCUAGAGCACAUGCAUGCAUGAAUUUUGGAGUCCAAUAGUAUUCUUAUAUAUUGUCAAGUUACUAAAUCAAGGCAUGCAAUGAAAAACUGAAAUACCUACCAUCUAUUUUAUAAAAGACAUGAAGUGCCACUUCUAAAUGACUCCGGCAGUCAGAGAAUAUAUAUGUCCGAGCAUUCUACGGGUAAUAGAAAGUUCAACAACAUUCACUUUCCAAGGCUACAAGUUAGUAUGCCUGGGGUGUAAAAACCACACAUUGUGAGUUGGCAUUUAGUUCGAGACAGUCAAUCAUCCAUCUUCACAAACAUGUUAGCCCCUAUUCCACGACUCAGUAUGUUACAGCAUAUGAUUGGAAGGCAUCGAGAAGUGCACUGUGCGUGUUUGAAGUAAUUUUGUGAAAAAUGCAUCGAGUGUGGUAGGAGCCACUAAAUGGUGUGUGGUCCAUAUACACAGUGAUAGGAUGCUAAUUCAAACUCGGUGUUGUAGCAAGUUAGAAUGCUGAAAGUCCUUCGAGUGGAAUGGCAAUUGCAAUGUGUGCUUGGCUGCUCGUUAUCAGUUCUCAAGAGCUGCAAGUUUUCUUUGUUCAGAAAUAUAAUAAAUUAGGGAAAUGGGUGCAACCAGGAGAGCCAGUAUAUAAGAAACUCACGCAUGGGAUUCUUUUUGCCAAAGAUCGAGAUGCGAGGGUUUGGGAUGUCAACAGCUAGCAAGGAUCAUGGGGGCACAGACACGGGCAGGUUGGUGGCAGGAAGAUGAGAUUCAGUAAGAGGCAGUUAUUUCUUGAUGUAUGAACUAACAGCCUCUGAGAAAUAAAAAAAUACUAUUUUGUCAGCUUUAUAGAGCUAAUUCAUGAUCAGUUGUCAUGCAAAUUUUCUCAAUACUUAUUGAUCAGAAACCUGAUCUAGCUGAUUUUGGGCUUUUUAGACAACCCUCCAAGAUAUACCGCUAAUUAUUAGUUAGGUUGUAGCAAAUUUAGUACAUUAAUUAGGGACCAUUUUUUGUUAUAUUUAAUAUCUAUUAGACUAUUAUUAUUAAUUUCUUGAAGGGGGUCAAAAAGCAUUCGCCUAUAUUGACACAGCUCAUGUUACGCACAGACAUGCUGUGUAAACCAGAACGUGUCUGUUUCUGAGAUAACCACUACAACACACACUGGCU